GAUGAACGCUGGCGGCGUGCCUAAUACAUGCAAGUCGAGCGAACAGACGAGGAGCUUGCUCCUCUGACGUUAGCGGCGGACGGGUGAGUAACACGUGGAUAACCUACCUAUAAGACUGGGAUAACUUCGGGAAACCGGAGCUAAUACCGGAUAAUAUAUUGAACCGCAUGGUUCAAUAGUAAAAGACGGUUUUGCUGUCACUUAUAGAUGGAUCCGCGCUGCAUUAGCUAGUUGGUAAGGUAACGGCUUACCAAGGCAACGAUGCGUAGCCGACCUGAGAGGGUGAUCGGCCACACUGGAACUGAGACACGGUCCAGACUCCUACGGGAGGCAGCAGUAGGGAAUCUUCCGCAAUGGGCGAAAGCCUGACGGAGCAACGCCGCGUGAGUGAUGAAGGUCUUCGGAUCGUAAAACUCUGUUAUUAGGGAAGAACAGAUGUGUAAGUAACUAUGCACGUCUUGACGGUACCUAAUCAGAAAGCCACGGCUAACUACGUG
rnacentral:rRNA from 1 species